rnacentral:rRNA from 1 species
GCGAGUGUUUUGAGAAGAUGGAUGAAUGCGGGUACCGAGAUUAGCUCUCUGGAAGAGCUAUUUCUCUGGCAGACGUGCGUGUGCUGUUGGGCGGUGUGAAUUUGUGAGCGUAAAUGUUGUUCGUGGCUGCCCGCAGGGAUCUAUCUGUGGCCCAUUCAUUUGGAACCUCAUGAUGGACCCCUUGCUGGUGCAGCUUGAGCAGAUUAUAAAUGUUGUGCGUAUGCGGACGAUCUGCUCAUCUUGAUUGAGGGUCGGUCGCGUCUUGAGAUCGAGACGAAUGCGGGUAUGUGCUUGCGCACUGUGUAUGAGUGGGGUGAAAGUGUUGGGGUCAGUCUUGCAAUGGACAAGACAGUGUCAAUGCUGCUCAAGGGCAGAUUGGCAGCUAGUCGGCCACCCAUUGUCAGACUGAAUGGAGUGAAUGUGAGGUAUGCGUCUGAGGUGAAAUACCUCGGCAUAACCUUCGGCGAGAGGAUGUGUUUCACUCCUCAUAUCGCUGUCUCAAGGCCCGGCUACUUGGUUUGGUGGGGCAAGUGCGUCGUAUUUUGAGGUCUGACUGGGGCCUAAACAGACGUGCUCUCCGCACCAUCUAUGAGAGUCUGUUUGUUGCAUGUGCAGCAUAUGGAUCGUUUGUAUGGUGCAAGGCGGUCACGACUGUGGUCGGCAGAAAGAAAGUGCUGGCUUGCCAGAGAGUGCUUCUGUUGGGUUGUCUGCCUGUGUGCCGCACUGUCUCUACGGAGGCAAUGCAGGUACUGUUAGGAGUAGCCCCUCUUGACUUGGAGAUCAGGCAUCGAGCCUUGAUGUACAGGAUCAAGAGGCGGCUGCCAUUGCUGCAGAAUGAUUGGCUAGCGGGUAGGGAUGUGGAGAGUUUAGGGGCUUAGUGAAUGCAAGAGAUUGUGGUGAAAGAGUGUGUUUUGUCUGACUGGCAAGUCAGAUGGGACACUAGCGUGAAUGGGCGUGUCACUCAUCGGUUUAUACGAGAGGUUACAUUUGCCGGCAGCCGACCAGACUUUGGGUUCGGCCUGAGUCUUGGAUUCCUGUUGACUGGUCACGGUUCCCUCAAUGCAUUCCUGCAUUCGAGGAACCUUUAUGACAGUCCAGAAUGCCGUUGUGGCUCGGCUUGUGAGACAUGGGAGCAUGUUCUCUGUGAGUGCACAAGGUAUGCAGAUCUUCGAGAUCUGAGGGAAUGGGUAUAAGUGAGGUUAGUGGCGGGUUUGACGUAAGUCAAUCACUCUCCACUAGUGAUAGGGUUAGAAGAAUGAGUGAGUUUGCUAGAGCUGCAUUUUCCAGGCGACGUUUGCAAUUGAAUGAUGAGUGAUGAAUGAUACGAGGCCUGGCCAGAGGCUUUUAAUCUGGUACCACGGGUAACCAGGAGCCCACGGAACUUGUUGCGUCCUGGUUAGUUGGUGCGGCCCUUCGGGAGUAUCGUGGUGGGUGUGGUUUAACACCCAAAUGCGGGUAGAGCAUCGCUCGACGUGGAGUUGCGUCAUACAACCGGGUUCCGUGACCCAGAUUACGGAAGAGGCUUAGGUAGUCCUCGUGCCAAACCAAGGUAGAAGUCACAACCAAACAGUCGUGUCUUUAAUUGGUACCUGCGGAAUUGAUGUUCCAAGGGGGCGCUGAUUGACGCUUGAAUUAAUCCUAUACUAGGAACCGUGAGAUUAAGCCAUCGCGGCAGGUGCUCACGUUAAGCCCACUGACUUUCAUGUCCCUAUCUACUAUCUAGCGAAACCACAGCCAAGGGAACGGGCUUGGAAUAAUUAGCGGGGAAAGAAGACCCUUUUGAGUUUGACUCUAAUCUGGCAGUGUAAGGAGACAUAAGAGGUGUAGAAUAAGUGGGAGAUAUUAGACUUCGGUUUGGUAUCGACAAUGAAAUACCACUACUCUUAUGUUUCCUUACUUACUUGAUUCAAUCGAACGUGUAUCAUUUCCUAGCCAUUAUACGGAUAUAAUUUUUAUGUCAUAUGGUAUUGGGUUUUGAUGCAAGCUUCUUGAUCAAAGUAUCACGAGUUUGUUAUAUAAUCGCAAACAAAUUCUUUAAUGAGAGAAUGCAUUUAUGUAUUAUUGAUUUAAAAAUUUGGUAUAACUCCAAUUACUAGGUAUGAUCCAAUUCAAGGACAUUGCCAGGUAAGGAGUUUGACUGGGGCGGUACAUCUCUCAAAUAAUAACGGAGGUGUCCCAAGGCCAGCUCAUUGCGGACAGAAACCACACAUAGAGCAAAAGGGCAAAUGCUGACUUGAUCUCGGCGUUCAGUACACACAGGGACAGCAAAAGCUCGGUCUAUCGAUCCUUUUGGUUUAAAGAGUUUUUAACAAGAGGUGUCAGAAAAGUUACCAUAGGGAUAACUGGCUUGUGGCGGCCAAGCGUUCAUAGCGACGUCGCUUUUUGAUCCUUUGAUGUCGGCUCUUCCUAUCAUUGUGAAGCAAAAUUCACCAAGCGUUGGAUUGUUCACCCAUGCAAGGGAACGUGAGCUGGGUUUAGACCGUCGUGAGACAGGUUAGUUUUACCCUACUAAUGACAAAACGUUGUUGCGACAGCAUUCCUGCGUAGUACGAGAGGAACCGCAGGUACGGACCAAUGGCACAAUACUUGUUCGAGCGAACAGUGGUAUGACGCUACGUCAGUUGGAUUAUGCCUGAACGCCUCUAAGGUCGUAUCCGUGCUGGACCGCAAUGAUAAAUAGGGGGCAAUUUGCAUUGUAUGGCUUCUAAACCAUUAAAAGUUUUUAAUUUGUUUUAUUAACGACAAUGGAUGUGAUGCCAAUGUUAUUUAUAACAUAGUAAAUUGGGAGGAUCUUCGAUC